GCAGGUGUGGUGGAAUUGGUAGACACGCUAGACUUAGGAUCUAGUGCCGCAAGGCGUGAGAGUUCGAGUCUCUCCACCUGUA
rnacentral:tRNA from 1 species